UACAGAGGUCCCGAGCGUUGUUCGGAUUCAUUGGGCGUAAAGGGUGCGUGGGCGGCGCGGUAAGUCGGGUGUGAAAUCUCGGAGCUUAACUUCGAAACUGCAUUCGAUACUGCCGUGCUUGAGGACUGGAGAGGAGACUGGAAUUUACGGUGUAGCGGUGAAAUGCGUAGAUAUCGUAAGGAAGACCAGUGGCGAAGGCGGGUCUCUGGACAGUUCCUGACGCUGAGGCACGAAGGUCAGGGGAGCAAACGGG
rnacentral:rRNA from 1 species